rnacentral:ribozyme from 1 species
AGUAAAAAAGAAAGGCAAGAAAAAAGGCUCCCACGGGGAGCAACAUACUGUAUGUCAUUUUUUUUUUCUCUUUUUCUCUUUUUCUUUUUCUCUUUUUUUCUUUUUGU